AUUGAACGCUGGCGGCAUGCCUUACACAUGCAAGUCGAACGGCAGCACGGGUGCUUGCACCUGGUGGCGAGUGGCGAACGGGUGAGUAAUACAUCGGAACAUGUCCUGUAGUGGGGGAUAGCCCGGCGAAAGCCGGAUUAAUACCGCAUACGAUCUACGGAUGAAAGCGGGGGACCUUCGGGCCUCGCGCUAUAGGGUUGGCCGAUGGCUGAUUAGCUCGUUGGUGGGGUAAAGGCCUACCAAGGCGACGAUCAGUAGCUGGUCUGAGAGGACGACCAGCCACACUGGGACUGAGACACGGCCCAGACUCCUACGGGAGGCAGCAGUGGGGAAUUUUGGACAAUGGGCGAAAGCCUGAUCCAGCAAUGCCGCGUGUGUGAAGAAGGCCUUCGGGUUGUAAAGCACUUUUGUCCGGAAAGAAAUCCUUGGCCCUAAUACGGUCGGGGGAUGACGGUACCGGAAGAAUAAGCACCGGCUAACUACGUG
rnacentral:rRNA from 1 species